rnacentral:tRNA from 1 species
GACGAGGUGGCCGAGCGGUUAAGGCGAUGGACUGCUAAUCCAUUGGGGUUUCCCCGCGUGAGU